rnacentral:rRNA from 1 species
UUCGGCCUACGGGAGGCAGCAGUAGGGAAUCUUCCACAAUGGGCGAAAGCCUGAUGGAGCAACGCCGCGUGGGGGAAGAAGGUCUUCGGAUCGUAAAACCCUGUUGUUAGAGAAGAAAGUGCGUGAGAGUAACUGUUCACGUUUCGACGGUAUAUAACCAGAAAGCCACGGCUAACUACGUGCCAGCAGCGGCGGUAAUACGUAGGUGGCAAGCGGUAUACGGAUUUAUUGGGCGUAAAGAGAACGCAGGCGGUC